GCAAGGAAAAAGCAAGGAAGUCUUUUCAGACUGCUGCUGUCUGAUACUUUGCUCUCAAAAGAAGCCACUCUAUCGUCAUGACGUUAAGAUCAAAUGGAUUUCCACAUUUCCACAGAAUUAGAUAAAGAGAUGUUAGUUUCACAACACCAAGGAAAGGAAAGCAUCAUCACUGGAGAAAAAACUAUGAGAAUAAACUUAGGAAGGUUUGCCUGCUAUCUUCUGCUCAUUCAGCAUUUCCUUUUUGCUGCACUUCAGCUGUCUUUCCAACAGAGAAGACAUCAAGUUGAGGAAGCGGAAACCAAGAUUCUCGGUGCUUUCCAGACCUGUUGUGGCAGAUUAAUAAAGGACACUUGGGAUACCAGUAUCAAUAAAGUAAAGUGAAGUAACUUGACACAAGACACAGUAAACCAAGGUAUAACACUGUAGAGCACUGCAGUGGAAUGGAGGAGGAAUACAAAGGGGAGAGAAUUGGUGUUCAAGGGUGUACGACUGAGACACUGAGAAGUAAAGACCAACAACCCAAAAUAGAAAAAUGAUGACAUCUACACCAGACCUCCUAAUAAAACCAACAAGCUACCUCUGGUAUGUGGUACUGGACAUCAUAAAACCACUCUAUGCUGACUGUACUGCAGUUGCUUAUGUGCAAUUUAAAAGUAAAUCAUGAUGAAAAAGCUGUAAUUGUC